AUGCGAAACCCGUCCGGGUCAGCCCGGACGCGGUCGGUCGGGCGUGGUGGCCCGGUCCUGAUGAGCAGCCGGAG
rnacentral:hammerhead_ribozyme from 1 species